GAUUUACUCAAGUCUCUUAUUAUGUUGUUGUACCACCAAAAACUACUGAACACCAUGCAACUAUUUCAGCUAAACUUUUAUAAGUUACAUCCUGAUUCAACAAAUUUCCCUAUAAAACUACUUGAGGUAGCAGAAACCACUAAAACAACUUUGUUACAAUAACAUACAGUUUCCUGGCUCCACCUAAUUACAAAGCCCAAGGUAAAUCCCUGGUAACCACUCCAGUGCAGCAGAAUUCAUUGAACCAUCGCUAGAUAAGCUAGAUGUACAUCCAGAUAUUGAACAAAUUUGACAUCUCUGUAGAAAACUCGCCUGGAAGUCAUUCUUGGCAUCACAGCUGAUUUCAUGUCAAAACGUGUCGAUGCAGCUGAAUUAACUAUCUGUCCCCUCCGAACAUUCAUGCUUUCGAGUCUGCUUCAUCUUUGCCACCAACUCCAUGUGUUGGACAUUCAUAUUUCGGGACAGCGCACUCAUUUCACCUUUCUUUGGGAUUUUGAGCCCCUUCAUCUUACUCCAAAUCUUGGCAAGAAUGAAACAAUGAUUUACUCAAGUCUCUUAUUAUGUUGUUGUACCACCAAAAACUACUGAACACCAUGCAACUAUUUCAGCUAAACUUUUAUAAGUUACAUCCUGAUUCAACAAAUUUCCCUAUAAAACUACUUGAGGUAGCAGAAACCACUAAAACAACUUUGUUACAAUAACAUACAGUUUCCUGGCUCCACCUAAUUACAAAGCCCAAGGUAAAUCCCUGGUAACCACUCCAGUGCAGCAGAAUUCAUUGAACCAUCGCUAGAUAAGCUAGAUGUACAUCCAGAUAUUGAACAAAUUUGACAUCUCUGUAGAAAACUCGCCUGGAAGUCAUUCUUGGCAUCACAGCUGAUUUCAUGUCAAAACGUGUCGAUGCAGCUGAAUUAACUAUCUGUCCCCUCCGAACAUUCAUGCUUUCGAGUCUGCUUCAUCUUUGCCACCAACUCCAUGUGUUGGACAUUCAUAUUUCGGGACAGCGCACUCAUUUCACCUUUCUUUGGGAUUUUGAGCCCCUUCAUCU
rnacentral:lncRNA from 1 species